rnacentral:rRNA from 1 species
UACAGAGGGUGCGAGCGUUAAUCGGAAUUACUGGGCGUAAAGGGCGCGUAGGCGGUGUAUUAAGUUAGAUGUGAAAUCCCUGGGCUUAACCUAGGAACUGCAUCUAAUACUGGUACGCUAGAGUGCAGUAGAGGGUAGUGGAAUUUCCGGUGUAGCGGUGAAAUGCGUAGAUAUCGGAAGGAACACCAGUGGCGAAGGCGGCUACCUGGACUGACACUGACGCUGAGGCGCGAGAGCGUGGGGAGCAAACAGG